AGGCAUCCUGAGACAUUCUUUCUUUGGUAUCCUCAACGCUACUAUCAAUAUAUUUGUUGGAAGGGGCAUGAUGAUGCUGCAGAAAAAUCAGCAUAUUACCUUGAACCUCACAAAGACUGGACUAGGACCUGCAGACUUCUGUUCAGUUCCAGAUUAUUUGGAG